GGGUUGGGGCUUCGGUGUUUCGCCUUCAUCUAUGGUUCGCUGAUCAGGGUUUUGUUCGAUAUAUAGGGUUCUGUGGCUUUCGUGUUUUAGGUGUGCUUAAGCUUGAACAGGAGCACAUCAUGGGAGUGAUAGUUAUGAUUUGGAUCGUUUGUUAAAACCAAGCACAAUGAAGCAUGCGACAUUGUAUUUGACAUCUUUAUAGCGGCUGGAAUAUACGCUGCAUGGAUUUCGGUGGCAUGCAGCAUUUCGUUCGUGCUGAUAAUUCCUGCAUAAGUUUGGGCCACGCUCAGUCCGGGAAACUGGGAUAUGGACCUGCCGGACAGAAGUGAGUUUAUUUACUGCAAUACUAUUCUUUUUCUUUACGCUUCUAUCAAUUAUUAUGGUACAAACUUUGGGCAAAAAUUCCCCCUGUUGGUUGCUACUUCCUACUUAUAUAAAAAGAGCCACAAGGUGGCAUGCCAUUUUUUCAAUUGGAGACAAUUUUGCUUGCUUAUCCCUGGAUACAUAUAUACUAGUGUAUACAUUUUAUGCAUAACUAUUUUUCUUUUUUUUGGAGAUAUAUAUUACAAUCUUGGAUGAUUAUUUUUGCUAAUCCACAAAGAAAGAGAAACAAUAAACUCUAGAAUCUAGACCAAUCACAACAUUUUAACUUUAUGUGAAAGAGUAGAAGAUGGGAAAGGAGUGAUUAAUCAAUUUGAUGCUGGAAAUCGUUUGUUGAGAUUGAAUUUUGACUGCUGAAUGAUUAGGAGCUCAAGUAUCUUUUUCCAAGAGCUGCUUUUGAUGUUUAGUUCUCAAAAUUGUUCAAAUACUUCAAAGCUGGAAGCCUGGAACCAUCUAUUCAAUGGUUGAUACUGAAUCGGAAGCCUAAAACUUUGGUUUGGUUAGUUGGAAAAUAUGUUUAAAACUAUUUACAUACAGGCAAAGUGGCUAGUGCUGAAUUUCAUUUAAACAUUGAAAAUGAGGAUGAAUUGUGUACAUGGUGAAAGGCAAUACUCUAGCAGCCUCUGAAUUAUAUGAUAUAUGCAUUUUCUUAGUUCAUAUCAUCUUGCACCUAUCCAAACUAUUGUUUUCACUAAGUAUUAUGGACAAUGGAACACAGAGAUCAUGUUUUGAUUUUAAUGUAAUUUGUGAAUAUUGCACAAAUAUCUUGAUAUAUAGUGUAAGAGAUUUAGAUUCUGAUGUCCACUCUUUCUGUUUACUGAUAAAUUAUCAUUAGUUCUUAUUAUCCAAUUGAUUGGCUGAAUGAUUUUUCCUUGGCCACAAAAAAGAAUUUAAGACUGCGAACAUAGAGUGUUGCCUUUUACUAUGACCAUAAUGAUUGUGAUUCGAUAUUGUACCUUGAUACGGUAUGAAUAGAUAUGUAUAUUACCAUUUCAUGUGCCGGAAGUCCUCAAGCACAAGGGUUUGUUGACCUUUGGAUCAGUGGUUCCUGAUUUUUAGGGCUAUCUUCUGGAAUGAAAAUAGACACCUUUAACUUUCAAAAAAACUCAU